AGUGAACGCUGGCGGUAGGCCUAACACAUGCAAGUCGAACGGCAGCACAGCAAGAGCUUGCUCUUACGGGUGGCGAGUGGCGGACGGGUGAGGAAUACAUCGGAAUCUACUUUUUCGUGGGGGAUCACGUAGGGAAACUUACGCUAAUACCGCAUACGACCUACGGUUGAAAGCAGUGGAUCUUCUGACCUUGCGCGAUUGAAUUAGCCGAUGUCGGAUUAGCUAGUUGGCGGGGUAAAGGCCCACCAAGGCGACGAUCCGUAGCUGGUCUGAGAGGAUGGUCAGCCACACUGGAACUGAGACACGGUCCAGACUCCUACGGGAGGCAGCAGUGGGGAAUAUUGGACAAAGGGCGCAAGCAUGAUCCAGCCAUACCGCGUGGGUGAAGAAGGCCUUCGGGUUGUAAAGCCCUUUUGUUGGGAAAGAAAAGCAGCAGGUUAAUACCCCGCUGUUCUGACGGUACCCAAAGAAUAAGCACCGGCUAACUUCGUG
rnacentral:rRNA from 1 species